rnacentral:rRNA from 1 species
AGUGAACGCUGGCGGUAGGCCUAACACAUGCAAGUCGAACGGCAGCACAGUAAGAGCUUGCUCUUACGGGUGGCGAGUGGCGGACGGGUGAGGAAUACAUCGGAAUCUACUUUUUCGUGGGGGAUAACGUAGGGAAACUUACGCUAAUACCGCAUACGACCUACGGGUGAAAGCAGGGGAUCUUCGGACCUUGCGCGAUUGAAUGAGCCGAUGUCGGAUUAGCUAGUUGGCGGGGUAAAGGCCCACCAAGGCGACGAUCCGUAGCUGGUCUGAGAGGAUGAUCAGCCACACUGGAACUGAGACGCGGUCCAGACUCCUACGGGAGGCAGCAGUGGGGAAUAUUGGACAAUGGGCGCAAGCCUGAUCCAGCCAUGCCGCGUGGGUGAAGAAGGCCUUCGGGUUGUAAAGCCCUUUUGUUGGGAAAGAAAAGCAGCAGGUUAAUACCCCGCUGUUCUGACGGUACCCAAAGAAUAAGCACCGGCUAACUUCGUG